ACUGUUGAGCUCUUCGAAGCUGAAAAUUUAAAAUCGACUACCUAAAUAACCUAGAAAAUGUAUCGAUACAUUUAUGCGUAGGUACUUUAAAAAUUAAAACCAAAAAUUGGAAAGUAUAUGGCUUAUUUUCCACCGCCUAUAUUAACCGAUGCUAUGAAGUUUUUCCCGAAAUAUGGUAUUUUGAGUACAAUGACACUUUUGAAAUAUAAAUGAACAAAAAAAAAAAAAAAAAAGAAGAAGAAAAUUGUAAUUCCCGUCCCAUAAAAUUACGCCACUGAAUACGGUCGGUCCGAACGCCAUAAUGUAUUAUUUGACGACAAAAAGAUAAAUAAAUAUUAACUCAUUGUAGUUUAAAAUAAUAUUGUCGACUUUGCCGCAAAAGACCGCAACGGGCGAUCAAUCUUUCGCGAUGUAUUUCACGUGUAACUAUAAGAGUUCAGAGGUAUACUUUUUGGAUUAUUUUACAUAGACUGCACGUAGGACGAGCUGCAAACCACGCACAACGGAGUGUCAAAGUCUGGCGAAUUACCGCGGGCAAAACACUCGGCCAAAAGAUUAAUGACUCGCGCGCGGGUAUAACAGUAAUAAUAUUUCCG